rnacentral:rRNA from 1 species
GAUGAACGCUGGCGGCGUGCCUAAUACAUGCAAGUCGAGCGAACGGACGAGAAGCUUGCUUUUCUGAUGUUAGCGGCGGACGGGUGAGUAACACGUGGAUAACCUACCUAUAAGACUGGGAUAACUUCGGGAAACCGGAGCUAAUACCGGAUAAUAUUUUGAACCGCAUGGUUCAAAAGUGAAAGACGGUCUUGCUGUCUCUUAUAGAUGGAUCCGCGCUGCAUUAGCUAGUUGGUAAGGUAACGGCUUACCAAGGCAACGAUGCAUAGCCGACCUGAGAGGGUGAUCGGCGACACUGGAACUGAGACACGGUCCAGACUCCUACGGGAGGCAGCAGUAGGGAAUCGUCCGAAAUGGGCGAAAGCCUGACGGAGCAACGCCGCGUGAGUGAUGAAGGUCUGCGGAUCGUAAAACUCUGUUAUUAGGGAAGAACAUAUGUGUAAGUAACUGUGCACAUCUUGACGGUACCUAAUCAGAAAGCCACGGCUAACUACGUG